rnacentral:misc_RNA from 1 species
GAAACGCGAAAGGUAAUGCGAAUUGCAGAAUUCAGUGAAUCAUCGAAUCUUUGAACGCACCUUGCGCUCCUUGGUAUUCCUUGGAGCAUGCCUGUUUGAGUAUCAUGAAAUCUUCAAAGUAAAUCUUUUGUUAACUCAAUUGGUUUCUACUUUGGUAUUGGAGGUCUUUGCAGCUUCACACCUGCUCCUCUUUGUUCAUUAGCUGGAUCUCAGUGUUAUGCUUGGUUCCACUCGGCGUGAUAAGUUAUCUAUCGCUGAGGACACUGUAAAAGGUGGCCAAGGUAAAUGCAGAUGAACCGCUUCUAAUAGUCCAUUGACUUGGACAAUACUUUUAUGAUCUGAUCUCAAAUCAGGUAGGACUACCCGCUGAACUUAAGC